AAUGUCCACGCUGGGUUCACCCAGACUCCAAAUCGGAUAGACGAAUAGUUCUGAUAAAAAGUACCUAUUGGUAUCUCAACCAAGUGCCACAGUAUGCAUGUAUCGUAUGGCCUUAGUGCCACCGGUGCCACAGUGUUUGCGCUGUGCUCUUUCAGAGACCGUACCGACUGGAAUUUAGCGACCGCUGACCGUUUUAAAGACUGUACGGGCGGCAGCGGGCGGUCUGAUCCUCGCCUCCGGCAAGAGGGGAGACCGCGCGUCCCCCUGUCGCAUUGUGCCGCUGCCGCUCGCGGGAUGCGGACGAGUCUGUUGAGUGUGUUGUGCCGUCUGCCGUCUCCUCUUCGGGCCAUGAACGCAGGAUGCAAGACUGGACAGGCGACGGGCGACUCAACCACUCAAGAUGUGUAGAAUGUGGAUGGCGGAGGAGCGGCGGCCGAGGACGUGUGAUGAUAAUAUCUGAAGCGUGGCUGACUCGAAAAAGUGUAGACUUAUCUUCAUGUAAAUAUGUUUUUCGGAAGUCCUCGGCUCAUAUUUCUUGGAGCCUCAGCUGCAACCUGCGAAUGCCUAGAGCUCCAUAUAUGUAUACCCGGUCGCCUGUGGUUGGCGGCUGCUCCAUUCCUGGCAAUGAAAAAUGGCUAAAUGUGCUUGUUUUAA